CUCAUUUUCUCUUGCUCCUGCCGUGUAAGAAGUGCCUUUUGCCUCCCACCGUGAUUCUGAGGCCUCCCCAACCAUGUGCAAUUGCACAGGCCCAGGCUGAAGAGGAAAGACAAGAGCCGCCCUGCCCAGAAACGUCCACAUGUGGGUACUGCAUUCCUACCGGUGUGACAGGUCAGUGUGACAGGUACUGUUGUGACAGGUCGGUGUGAGACACUGGUGUGACAAGUCAGUGUGACAGGCAGUGGUGUGACAGGUCGGUGUGACAGGCACCAGUGUGACAGGCCCCGGUGUGACAGGUAGGUCAUGCUGUGACAGGCCCCGGUGUGACAGGUCGGUGUGACAGACACCAGUGUGACAGGCCCCGGUGUGACAGGUAGGUCAUGCUGUGAUAGGCCCCGGUGUGACAGGUCGGUGUGACAGGCACCAGUGUGACAGGUAGGUCAUGCUGUGAUAGGCCCCGGUGUGACAGGUCGGUGUGACAGGCACCAGUGUGACAGGCCCCGGUGUGACAGGUAGGUCAUGCUGUGACAGGCACCGGUGUGACAGGCCCCGGUGUGACAGGUCGGUGUGACAGGCACCGGUGUGACAGGUCGGUCACGUUGGCUCCCUGGCACGCGGCAGAGUGGGGACCGUGCCCCCGUGAGUGUCACACUGGGGUCCACACCAGGCUGAUCCACUGUGAGCUGGGAGUUGCCAUAGAGACUCUAUAAAUACAACCAAACAUCUUCCAGGGAACAGAAGCGUUUCUCAUCCCAAACCUCCACA
rnacentral:lncRNA from 1 species